GAUGAAGAACGCAGCGAAAUGCGAUAAGUAAUGUGAAUUGCAGAAUUCAGUGAAUCAUCGAAUCUUUGAACGCACCUUGCACUCUUUGGUAUUCCGAAGAGUAUGCCUGUUUGAGUGUCAUUAAAUUCUCAACCCAUCUGGCUUUUGAUAGUCAACUUGUGGCUUGGAUGUGGGGGUCUUUGCAGGCUUUGAAAAAGGUCAGCUCCCCUGAAAUGCAUUAGCGGAACGGUUUGCGAUCUGUCACUGGUGUGAUAAUUAUCUACGCCAAAGAUUAUGAACGCUCUCUGUCUGUUCAGCUUAUAACAGUCCCUUUAAUGUGGACAACUUUUGAUUGUUUGACCUCAAAUCAGGUAGGACUACCCGCUGAACUUAAGCAUAUCAAUAAGCGGAGGA
rnacentral:misc_RNA from 1 species